GGGCUACAGCCCAGUGGUAUAAAGCAUCUGCUUUGCAUGCAGAAGAUCCUAGGUUCAAUCCCUGGCAUCUCCA